rnacentral:lncRNA from 1 species
GGGUUCCCACUUUCUGGACCCAUGCUCAUUUGUCUAUUAGCUCUCCCUGGCCAGGGAUAAGAGCCGUGAGGUCUCAUCCUCACUUCAUCCUUUCAUCUGCUUCACCUUAGCCCCUCAAUGGCAAGGUUAAGAGCACCAUUCACCUGUACAGUUGGCCUCAGUGCCCAACCCUUGUGUGAGCCUCUUGUAUGUGUAUAGUGUGUGCUAU